UGCAGACUCCUUGAGCAGUGUGCUGUG
rnacentral:piRNA from 1 species